CACGUAGGGCGCAAGCGUUGUCCGGAAUUAUUGGGCGUAAAGAGCUCGUAGGCGGUCUGUUGCGUCCGCUGUGAAAACUCGGGGCUUAACCCCGAGCCUGCAGUGGAUACGGGCAGACUAGAGGUAGGUAGGGGAGAAUGGAAUUCCCGGUGUAGCGGUGAAAUGCGCAGAUAUCGGGAGGAACACCGGUGGUGUAGACGGCUUCUGGACCGUAACUGACGCUGAAACACGAAAGCGUGGGUAGCAAACAGG
rnacentral:rRNA from 1 species